UCCUACGGGAGGCAGCAGUAGGGAAUCUUCCGCAAUGGACGAAAGUCUGACGGAGCAACGCCGCGUGAGUGAAGAAGGCCUUCGGGUCGUAAAACUCUGUUGCCGGGGAAGAACAAGUGCCGUUCGAACAGGGCGGCGCCUUGACGGUACCCGGCCAGAAAGCCACGGCUAACUACGUGCCAGCAGCCGCGGUAAUACGUAGGUGGCAAGCGUUGUCCGGAAUUAUUGGGCGUAAAGCGCGCGCAGGCGGCUUCUUAAGUCUGAUGUGAAAUCUUGCGGCUCAACCGCAAGCGGUCAUUGGAAACUGGGAGGCUUGAGUGCAGAAGAGGAGAGUGGAAUUCCACGUGUAGCGGUGAAAUGCGUAGAGAUGUGGAGGAACACCAGUGGCGAAGGCGGCUCUCUGGUCUGUAACUGACGCUGAGGCGCGAAAGCGUGGGGAGCAAACAGGAUUAGAUACCCUGGUAGUCCACGCCGUAAACGAUGAGUGCUAAGUGUUAGAGGGUUUCCGCCCUUUAGUGCUGCAGCUAACGCAUUAAGCACUCCGCCGGGGGGNCGCCCACCGGC
rnacentral:rRNA from 1 species